UGAGGAAUAUUGGUCAAUGGGCGGGAGCCUGAACCAGCCAAGCCGCGUGAGGGAGGAAGGCCCUAUGGGUCGUAAACCUCUUUUGUCAGGGAACAAAAGCGAGUAUGUAUACUAGUCUGAGUGUACCUGAAGAAAAAGCAUCGGCUAACUCCGUGCCAGCAGCCGCGGUAAUACGGAGGAUGCGAGCGUUAUCCGGAUUUAUUGGGUUUAAAGGGUGCGUAGGCGGCGGUGCAAGUCAGCGGUAAAAGCCCGGGGCUCAACCCCGGCGAGCCGUUGAAACUGCAGUGCUAGAGAAGGCGAGAGGUACGCGGAAUGCGCAGUGUAGCGGUGAAAUGCUUAGAUAUUGCGCAGAACUCCGAUUGCGAAGGCAGCGUACUGGCGCCUGACUGACGCUGAGGCUCGAAGGUGCGGGUAUCGAACAGGAUUAGAUACC
rnacentral:rRNA from 1 species